AGCAACAUGGCGCAGCUGGAAGCGCGCGGGGCCCAUACUCAAAUGUCACCCCGAGGUCACUCGAUCGAAACGAGUUGUUGCUA